UUUUUGUAUUACUGCUGUCCAUACACUGGAAUAAUGCUUUUCUAAGUAUUUCAGGUAGGAUAUAGACAAAUGUCACAUUUGCUCUUCCUUGUGUUGCUAAGGACACUGAUGGGUGGGGUUUGCUUACAGCGCAGGUAUAUUUAUGUUUUCUACAAUUUGUGAUGCUAAUGUCUGUAGUCCCAAAACGCUUAUUUAGCCAUGUUUUCCUUGUUCACUUCACAAGAUUAUGUAUUCAUGCUGAUAGUAUGUUGCUCUUUCCAGGACCGGUAAUUCUGAUAGUAUGCCAAGGACUGCUCAGGGUUCCUAUUGCUUUCUGUUUUACCACCUAAGGUAAUCGAAUUUUGAUCUUCAGCUUGCAAAUUUAUCACCUUAUGGGAGGGAAAGGUUUGCAUGUACAUGAGCUCUGAUUAUCUACAUAUAUACCUGAAUUGCUUUGGAUUUGUUGGACUGCUAUUCUACAUGAUGUUCUCCAUGAUUCACUUGAUCUGUUAAUUUGAGUAUUUUCCUGGUGAGUUCUUUAGGUUCAUCUUGUGACACAAAAUACAAUUUUGGUAUGUGCAGACUCUGAAAUUUGGUGAUAAAGAAAAGGUACCUCCUAAUUUGCUCUCUGGCUCUCUUACACUUGUCUUUGUUUAUACUGGCUUGUAGUUGGGUAAUGCAGAGAGAGGUUUGGAAUUGAAGAACUAAAAUAAUGCAGAGUUGAAGGUUUUGAACGG
rnacentral:lncRNA from 1 species